GCGGGGGAGGCUCCACGGUGGAGCACCGGACUGUAAAAUCCGGCGAGGCAGAGUCCUCACAGGGAGUUCGAUUCUCCCCUCCCGCA
rnacentral:tRNA from 1 species